rnacentral:lncRNA from 1 species
GUUUCUUUAGAUGCAUCAAACUAAAAAACAAAUAUAUAUGUUGCAUUUAUGAAUCUAUGUCUCUUACUCCAUGUUUAUCUCUAUUCAAAUGUCUGAUAAAUAUCUAAUGAAUAUGUGUCUUAUACUCAUGUUGUACCUGCACCUUCAACGAGAGCAUUGGCUUCUUCAUCUUGAGCAGGAACAAUACCUUCAUCCUGAGCCAUAGCAUCAAUUUCCUCGGCAGCUACAUCCUCAACUUCUCCGGGUAUGAUUUCACCACCUAGUUCUGCUGGGGGAGUAGAGUUGAUAUCCAAAAGAAAACCUACUUCUAGAUGAACACCUACAAGGAGUAGCAAGUUUCUUUAUAUGCAUCAAACUAAAAAACAAAUAUAUAUGUUGCAUUUAUGAAUCUAUGUCUCUUACUCCAUGUUUAUCUCUAUUCAAAUGUCUGAUAAAUAUCUAAUGAAUAUGUGUCUUAUACUCAUGUUGUACCUGCACCUUCAACGAGAACAUUGGCUUCUUCAUCUUGAGCAAGAAUAAUGCCUUCAUCCUGAGCCAUAGCAUCAUUUUCCUCAUCAGCUAUAUCCUCAACUUCUCCAGGUAUGAUUUCACCAACUAGUUCUGCUGGGGGAGUAGAGUUGAUGUUCAGAAGAAAACCUACUUCUAGAUGAACACCUACAAGGAUAACAAUGGGAUAAGACAAUUAGAUUGAAUCAGAUGACACACUUAAUUUCUUUAUUUAUUUUUAAAUUUAUUCUACUUCUAGUGAUGAAAACUUGGCAAUCAAGGGUUGAUUUAGCAUGUUUUUUGUGUUAGCUUCAAACUGAGUACUUUCUGAUUGCAUGUUAAAAAAACAAAUACUCCAAGUAUGCAAAGUUGUAUCUGCACCUUCAGCAGGAGCAACACCUUGAUUUGUAGAUUAUCAAAGUGGGCAAUCAAGGGAUGCGCUAAAUCUCUUGUUCCACAUAUGGCUACUCUAAAUGGAGUAUGGAUCUUGUAC